GAUGAACGCUGGCGGCGUGCCUAAUACAUGCAAGUCGAGCGAACAGACGAGGAGCUUGCUCCUCUGACGUUAGCGGCGGGCGGGUGAGUAACACGUGGAUAACCUACCUAUAAGACUGGGAUAACUUCGGGAAACCGGAGCUAAUACCGGAUAAUAUAUUGAACCGCAUGGUUCAAUAGUGAAAGACGGUUUUGCUGUCACUUAUAGAUGGAUCCGCGCCGCAUUAGCUAGUUGGUAAGGUAACGGCUUACCAAGGCAACGAUGCGUAGCCGACCUGAGAGGGUGAUCGGCCACACUGGAACUGAGACACGGUCCAGACUCCGACGGGAGGCAGCAGUAGGGAAUCUUCCGCAAUGGGCGAAAGCCUGACGGAGCAACGCCGCGUGAGUGAGGAAGGUCUUCGGAUCGUAAAACUCUAUUAUUAGGGAAGAACAAAUGUGUAAGUAACUAUGCACGUCUUGACGGUACCUAAUCAGAAAGCCACGGCUAACUACGUG
rnacentral:rRNA from 1 species